rnacentral:rRNA from 1 species
UACGGAGGGUGCAAGCGUUAAUCGGAAUUACUGGGCGUAAAGCGUGCGUAGGCGGUUCGUUAAGUCUGUUGUGAAAGCCCCGGGCUCAACCUGGGAAUGGCAAUGGAUACUGGCGAGCUAGAGUGUGUCAGAGGAUGGUGGAAUUCCCGGUGUAGCGGUGAAAUGCGUAGAGAUCGGGAGGAAUACCGAUGGCGAAGGCAGCCUCCUGGGCCAACACUGACGCUCAUGCACGAAAGCGUGGGGAGCAAACAGG